rnacentral:lncRNA from 1 species
AUGGCAGAACACAUCCAGACAGCUCGCUGGCUGCCCCUGAGCUCUGCAGCCAAGGCAGACGCGUUUGCCCCAAGCAGUCAGGACAGGUGGGAACAUGCCAGGCCACAGGGCCGGUCCAACGUCAGCCUCAGGCGGGCAGAUCAUGGCAGCCAGCGGGAUGCCUCCUGCACCGCAUGCGGCUCCUCCAGACACUCCCGGCCGCAGCGGGAGGACAGCGUACGUGUCCAGCCAGGGCUGGUGUCUGCUCAAGGACUGCUGAAGAUACUCUCUCUGCUGUCGAACAUGUAUUACUCCACUGGACAGAAUCUUACCAACCUUCUUUGGUUUAAAAAGUCACAGGAAACAAUCCUGGGUGGAUUCCCUAUCAGGACUUUGAAUAUCUGCUGUUACUUGAAACUGCCUGAUCUGGGAUCCAUUAAAGAGGAGCCCAAGCCAGGGAGCAGUGGUAUGGCACCAAACACUCAGGAGCAAGGCCACAAGAAUCUAACCCAACUGUGCAAGAAAACCUUCAUUAAUAAUAUCCACAGUAAUUAUGUCUGAAACUUUUUCCACUCUCUCUAAACAAGGGGUAACUAAUUUGAGAUAGAUAGCAAUAACU